AAGAAAAGGAAGAAGAAGAUCUGCAACAUAUCAUCCCUUUAGUUAUUUAUUUAUUUUUUAAAAGGAAGCAAGGUCCCCUGAGAGAUGGAGGAAGUGUGAGGGCCAGCCAGGGUUUUCUUAAUUUGCCUUGUGGAAAAUCAUGCCAUUUCACUCCGAUGCGGCCAAGGAAAUUACCACGAAAUUACCUCUGCUAACCUUUUAACUUUAACAAUUAUAACAUUGCUAGAUUACCUCUUCUAAGCUUCAGUCCUCAGCACUUUACUCAUAAGCUAACCUUUCCGAUUGCUGCAAUUUGAUCGUUAAAGUCACCAAGUAGGCGGACUCCGACCACCUCAUAAACUCCAUAGAGAGGAGAAAAAGGAGACCAGUUAUUGAUUUCGAUUCUUAGUGAUUGAGUAAGACACGAUCUUGUAACUCUCUGAUAUGGCAUCUUCAUCUACUGUUGCUCAUAAAUGGAAGUAUGAUGUGUUCCUUAGUUUUAGAGGCAAGGAUACGCGCAAUAAUUUUACCAGCCAUCUCUAUGAUGCUUUGGGUCGUAAGAAAAUCAAGACCUUCAUUGAUGAUGGGCUUGAAAGAGGAGAAGAAAUUACCACUACCCUUCUGAAAACGAUUACAGAAUCUAGAAUUUCUGUAGUAAUUUUCUCCAAGAACUAUGCAUCUUCCCCGUGGUGUGUGGAUGAACUGGUGACAAUACUUGAAUGCAAAGAGACUUAUGGGCAGAUUGUUUUACCGGUCUUCUAUCAUGUGGACCCAUCUGAAGUUGAUGAACAGACUGGGAGUUAUGAAAAUGCAUUUGCCGAGCUUGAAAAAAAAUUUAAGGGGAAGAUGGACAAGGUGCCAAGGUGGAGGGCUGACUUGACAUACGCAGCCAGUAUAUCUGGAUGGGAUUCACAGGUUACUAGGCCUGAGUCGAGACUCGUGGAACAAAUAGUGCAUCAUAUUUUGAAGAAAUUAAAUCAUGCAUCCUCAAGUGAUUUGAAGGGCCUGGUUGGAAUGGAUUCACGUAUGAAGCAAAUCGAAGCCUUAUUAUGCACACAGUUACCGGAGGUUUGUUUUGUAGGAAUUUGGGGCAUGGGUGGUACUGGUAAGACAACCAUUGCUGGAGAGAUUUUCAACAAGAUCGCAAGGGAUUAUGAAGGUCACUAUUUUCUUGCAAAUGUGAGGGAAUCAGAAAGGAAUGGAGGAUUAUCUCGUAUGCGAGAUGAACUUUUCUCUAAAAUAACAGAGGAAGAAAAUCUACAUAUUCGCACUCCACGUAUUGGACACCCUUUCAUUAAAGACAGGAUCUGCCGUAAAAAGGUUCUGAUUGUUUUCGAUGAUGUGAAUGAUGUAGAUCAAAUUGAAAUGUUACUUGGAGGAUGUGAGUCGUUUGGUCCAGGAAGUAGAAUUAUCCUAACAUCUAGAGAUAAACAGGUCCUUAAGAAAUAUGCAGACAAAAUAUUUGAGGUUGAGGGACUGAAUCACCGGGAAGCUCUUCAUCUCUUUAGUUUGCAUGCAUUUAAGGAUAACCAGCUCCCAUACAAUUAUAUGAAGCUGUCUGUGAGGGCAAUAAAUUACGCUAAAGGGAAUCCAUUAGCUCUUAAAGUCUUAGGUUCCUUUCUAUUUGGCAGAACGACUAAAGAAUGGGAAAGUGCAUUGAACAAGGUUGAAAAACUAACUCGGCAAAAAGUUCAUAGUGUGUUGAGAAUAAGUUAUGAAGCACUUGAUAGUGAAGAGAAGAGUAUAUUUCUGGACAUUGCAUGUUUCUUUAGAGGGCAUCAAGUUGAUUUUGUAAAGCGGAUACUAGAAGGCUGCGGUUUCAAAACAGAUAUUGGAUUUAGUGUUCUCAUUGACAGGUGUCUCAUUAAAAUUUCAGAUGACAAGGUUGAAAUGCAUGAUCUUUUGCAAGAAAUGGCCCAUGAUGUUGUUCGAAAAGAAUCUCUUGACGUGCUAGGAGGACAAAGCAGAUUGUGGAGUCCUAAAGAUGUAUAUCAAGUGUUGACCAAUAAUCUGGGAACUGGAAAAGUUGAAGGGAUAUUCUUGGAUGUUUCAAAAAUAAGAGAAAUCGAGUUGAGUUCUACAGCCUUGGAAAGGAUGUAUAAACUUAGACUUCUAAAAAUUUAUAAUUCUGAAGCUGGAGUUAAAUGCAGAGUGCACCUUCCUCAUGGCCUCGAGUCUCUUUCCGAAGAGUUGAGGUAUCUCCAUUGGGAUGGAUACCCUUUGACAUCUUUGCCUCGCAAGUUUUGUCCAGAGAACCUUGUUGAGCUUAACCUAUCAUCUAGCAAGGUUAAGCAAUUGUGGAGAGGAGACCGGAAUCUCAUCAAUUUAAAAGAUGUCAACCUCAGCAAUUGUGAGCACAUAACUUCCCUGCCAGACCUUUCAAAGGCCAGAAACCUUGAGAGAGUGAAUCUUCAAUUCUGUACAAGUUUGGUUAAGGUUCCUUUAUCUAUACAGCAUCUGGACAAGCUUAAUGAUUUAGAUUUGAGAGGCUGCACAAGCCUAAUCAAUCUGCCCAGUAGAAUUAAUUCAAGAUGUCUUAAGAGUCUUAACCUUUCUGGUUGUUCAAAUCUCAAGAAUUGCCCAGAGACUGCAAGGAAACUGACAUAUUUAAAUUUAAAUAACACUGCUGUUGAAGAGCUUCCCCAAUCAAUUGGGGAACUCAGCGGACUUGUCGCGUUGAAUUUGAAGAACUGCAAACUCCUGGUGAAUAUUCCAGAAAACAUAUAUUUGUUGAAAUCUCUUCUAAUCGUCGACAUCUCUGGCUGCUCAUCUAUCAGCAGGCUUCCUGAGUUUUCGAGGAAUAUUAGAUACUUGUACUUGAAUGGAACUGCAAUAGAAGAACUGCCAUCUUCAAUUGGUGAUCUAAGGGAACUCAUUUAUUUAGAUCUUUCCGGUUGCUCAAGUAUCACGGAGUUUCCAAAGGUUUCAAGAAAGAUAAGGGAGCUGUAUUUAGAUGGGACAUCAAUAAGAGAGAUUCCCUCUUCAAUUGAAUGUUUGUUUGAACUUCAUGAAUUGCACCUGCGAAACUGCAAACAAUUUGAGAUUCUUCCAGGCAGCAUCUGUAAGUUGAAAAACCUGCGAAGGCUUAAUCUCUCAGGUUGCCUCCAAUUUAGGAGUUUUCCAGAGGUUUUGGAGCCGAUGGUAUGUUUGAGAUAUCUCUAUUUAGAACAGACAAGCAUAACAAAGUUGCCUUCACCGAUUGGAAAUCUGAUGGAACUUGCCUGCUUGGAAGUGGGAAACUGCAAAUAUCUAGAAGACAUCGAAAGUUUGAGACGCAUGAAUUCAGAUUGUUUGCGUAAGCUAAGUCUAGAUGGUUGCAAUCUAUCGGAAGUGCCAGACAGUCUUGGUUGUUUAUCGUCACUGGAACUGUUAGAUCUAAGUGGAAACAAUUUGAGGAGUAUUCCUAGAAGCAUCAAUAAACUCUUGGAGUUGCAAUAUCUAGGAAUAAGGAAUUGCAAGAGACUUGAAUCAUUACCGGAGCUUCCACCACGGCUAUCAAAGUUGGAUGCAGACAAUUGCGAGAGUUUGAAUUAUCUAGAAUCAAGCUCAUCAACUGUAGUUGUGGGGAACAUUUUUGAAUUCAUUUUCACUAAUUGCUUGAGGUUGCGUGGGAUCAAUCAAAUCUUGGAGUACUCAUUGUUGAAAUUUCAACUUUAUACCAAAAGGUUAUACCAUCAGCUGCCCGAUGUUCCAGAAGGGGCAUGUAGUUUCUGCCUCCCUAGAGGUGUCUCUCCGGAGUGGCGUAUCCAUCAAAGUUGGGGAUCUACAGUAACAUGCCAGCUGUCUUCACAUUGGGCUAAUAGCAAGUUCUUGGGUUUCUCUCUUUGCGCUGUCAUUGCAUUUCAUUCUUUCAGCCAUAGUUUGCAAGUUAAAUGCACAUAUCACUUCAGCAAUGAGCAUGGUGAUACCCAUGAUCUCUAUUGCUAUCUCCAUGGUUGGUAUGAUGAGAAGCGCAUUGACUCAGAUCACGUACUCGUGGGAUUUGAUCCCUGCCUGGUUGCCAAAGAAGAUUAUAUGUUUAGUGAAUACAGUGAAGUUUCAGUUGAAUUCCAACCGGAAGAUAUCAACGGCAAUCUCUUACCAUUAGAAUUUUGUCAAGUGCACGAGUGUGGGCUCCAUCUACUGUAUAAAGAUGGGAUACAUGAUUUGAUCAUGCCAGACUACUUUCGUUUUUAUUCUCUAGAUCGAGAUGGAUUGGAAGCAAUGUUCCAAACCAAGAGAGAAAGGUUCCAAAGCACGAGUUGGAAGGAUUAUUAUGCCAUGCGUUUGACCCAUGAAUUUUUGGGUUCCUUAUUGGAAUUUCGACGUUAUUCCGGAGAGUUACACCGUCAGGAGGAGCCCGUUGUUUCAAAAAGGGUACCUAGUUUCCGCUACCAUGGAGAUGUAACUCCGGAGUGGUUUAGCCAUCAAAGUUGGGGAUCUACAGUAACAUGCCAGCUGUCUUCACAUUGGGCUAAUAGCGAGUUCUUGGGUUUCUUUCUUUGCGCUGUCAUUGCAUUUCAUUCUUUCAGCCAUAGUUUGCAAGUUAAAUGCACAUAUCACUUCAGCAAUGAGCAUGGUGAUACCCAUGAUCUCUAUUGCUAUCUCCAUGGUUGGAAUGAUGAGAGGCGCGUCUGCUCAGAGCACAUAUUUGUGGGAUUUGAUCCCGGUCUGGUUGUCAAAGAAAAGGAUAUGUUUAGUAAAUACAGUGAAGUCUUAAUUGAAUUCCAACCGGAAGAUAUAAACGGCAUUUUCUUAGCAUUAGAUGUUUGUCAAGUACGCGAGUGUGGGGUUCUUUUACUGGAUGCCAAAGAUAAACAUGGAGUGGAAACAAGGUUGCAAACCCAUUGAGCAAGGUUGCCAAACCUUGAAGCAAGGAUGGAAGCCCACAGAACAACAUUCCAUGCCGUGAAGUUUAACAUGGGUGUUCGGGUCAGCUUGCGCGUACGUCGACUAAUUCCACGGGCCCUGAAGUUAACGACCAUGUAAGCUUCCAGUGACCAUCAUAUGAGCAACCACAGGGCUCGAACCUGAGACCACAGAGAGAGCAAACUUUUUAAUUUCAAACUUUUACCACUAGGCCACCACCUAGAUGAUUGAUAUAAUUAACUCUCUUGUUAUUAUUAGUAAUAGCUGCUACUAUUACUAAACUGAGUUAUAAUAAUCUUUUGUACUCUAUUUCGGAUGAAGAUUUUGUAAGGCCCCAUCUCCUAGUAGUCUUUUCCGUUCUCGACACUUGUAUAGU